GGGGGCGUAACGGUUUCGACGGGGGUGCGGAGGCAGGAAUAGCGGGCGGAUGCGCCUGACAUCCAUAAAACGGGCAAACCUUAUAAAUUAAAGAACGACAACGAUACCGUUCUUCUCGCUGCUUAAUUAGCGAGCGUUCCGCCUGAGAGUACCACGGCUCGGGACGGGGCGUCGAUCAGUGGUGAACGUGAGCGCGCAAAGCUUUGAGCGCGCCACGCAUAAUGAAGCUACCAAGUCCCGAAGCGUGACGGUUCGCGCCGGGACGAGGGAAUGUAAAUAACCGUCUGCGCCCGGAGAAGUUGCUGUCAAAACGCUUUCGGACAGGGGUUCAACUCCCCUCGCUUCCACCA
rnacentral:tmRNA from 1 species